rnacentral:rRNA from 1 species
UACAGAGGGGGCGAGCGUUAUUCGGAAUUAUUGGGCGUAAAGGGCGCGUAGGCGGCCAUUCAAGUGACGGGUGAAAGCCCUCGGCUUAACCGAGGAACUGCCUGUCAGACUGGGUGGCUAGAGUCCGGUAGGGGAGCGUGGAAUUCCUGGUGUAGCGGUGAAAUGCGCAGAUAUCAGGAGGAACACCAGCGGCGAAGGCGGCGCUCUGGGCCGGAACUGACGCUGAGGAGCGAAAGCGUGGGGAGCGAACAGG